GCCCUCGUAGCUCAGUGGAUAGAGUACCGGCCUCCGGAGCCGGGAGCCCAGGUUCGAAUCCUGGCGGGGGCG
rnacentral:tRNA from 1 species